ensembl:lncRNA
UCUCCGCCGCUGAUUGUCCAUAUGAGCUUUGCAAAAGAAGUUGUUGCUGUGAAGCUGUUACUGAACUAGUAUCUAUCUUAGAGGAUCAGUGACUAUCCUUAGCAGCUUUGGAGGAGAAUACAAUGAUUCUUCUUUUUAAUGAGCUGAGGCACUGUGUCAGAUCAUGCUGGCAUUUUUUCUUUGCUUGUUACUUUUGCUGUUUGAGGAUCAUAUCUGUAACUUCUACAGAGCUAUCACAAGGGUGUGAGGUCAUGCAGGGUGAAAAAAAGCACACAAUUUAAGUUCUCUAAAUCUAAAUCCCAGCUAAAGUCAGCCAAACAAAGGAAACUUAUCGCUGAAAUAUUCUGCCUUUAUAGCAACGACCCUAGCUCUAAUUUUUCACAUAGCUAAUGGUGACAGUGUUGGAUCAGACCCACAAGAUCAAAGCAUCUGGGAGGACGGCGAUGUGGGAGUUGCAGACAGAUGAAUAAAAGCAGCCAGCUUACUGCCUUUAUGAGUUACUACUGCCUAGCAGCUGAGCUCUGGGAAAUCUUGCUGACAUCACUGCCAGAAAGAAUGGAGGAAAAAUAGCAAGAGAAAAGGAUCCAUUCCCUGCAAGAGAUGCUGAAUCCAGCAGUCUGGUAGAGGUGACGUGGCUGAAGAUCCAUGUCCACAGGUCCAGCUAGUGACAAGGCAGAACAUGUCAUCCCCACAGGCAUGCAAACACAUGUACAACAUGCAUACCCAUAUGACCAGACAAGCACACUCUGUAUGCAUCUAUUAACUGAUGUCAACUGACAUUCAGCCAACUCAGUAACUUGCCCUGGGACAUUCUCAUCCCCAGAUCCACCUGCAUUGAUACAUACAUAUAGAUGGGUCUCAGCCAAAUCACAGACCCCAUCGCCAACCCCUGCAGAUAGCUUGGACCUCCUGUAAUCGACCAGCACACACAGUGGUCUCUCCAGUGCCCAGCCCAGACUUGUGGCCACUUCCACAUCUGUCUCCAGGCCAUCUAACUACUAACUGGCUAGUCCAGCUGAAUAAUAAUGAUCACACACAGACAUACAUAUCUACACACUAUGCACUAUGCACAUGGUCCAAAAUUUCUGAGUGGAAAUAUGUGAAAAACUUGAAGGAACAAACAUCAAUCAGAAGAACGGCUCUGAAAGUGUCAUACACUGAUUUCACUCAGAAUAACAGCCCAUUGGAACCCCAGCAUUUUCAUUUGUAACUGUUCAGGACAGUCAGUGUGGAAGAGGAAGGACAUUAAGCAAAGUCAUAAAUGACCCACCUUGAGAACUGUGGGUAGUUUUGGGCAUCACCAUACAAAGGACUAUUUGAGAGUGUCCAAAGGAGGACUACAAAGAUGGUGAAGGUUCCAGAGGGCAAGGUGUAUGAAGAGUGGCCAAAUCCCUUUGUUUGUUCAGCUCAGAUGAGACUAAGGAGAACUGAGGUGGCCUACAGCUCCUUGCAGGGAGUGGAGGGACAGCGCUGAACUCUGCUCUCUGGUGACAACAACAGGAUCCAAGGAAACAACAUGGAGCUGCAUCAGGGAAGGGAGGAGAAGGGGAUCAGAUGAGGGGUUACAAAUAGAUUCUUCACCAGAGGUUGGUUGGGCCCUGGAACAGGCUCCCCAGGGCAGUGGUCACAGCCCCACGUUGUUGGAGUUCAAGAAGUGUCUGAACAAUUCUCUCAGACAUACACCCUGAUUUUUGGAUGGUCCUGUGUGCAUCCAGGAGUUGAACUCAGUGAUCCAUAUGGGUCCUUUCCAACUUGGGAUGCUCUGUGAUUCUGUGAAGUCUCAAAUUCUCACUACUCAUGCAGAUACAGAAGAAUGAAAAGGCUGCCAGCUUCCAAAGGGUACAAAAAGAAUAUUCAAAACUAGCACACGAUAACUCCAGUAAACAUGAGAGUACAGAGCCCUUCUCUCUCUAUGUCUUAGUGAGAAAUUAGACCAUCUGAGUACAAAUGUCUGGACUCAUGGACACAUAGGGGGACUACAUGGACACAGAGAUUUGGGUGGUCUGGGGUAUGUGGGUAAAAACUGUGAGUAAGAAUGAUUUACAUAGGUUUUGCUUAAAAAUAAAACCUCACCCUGAAUACCUCAGGUUGAGUUCUGCUACAUUUUUGUUCCAGUGAUGCAACAUUAUUUAUUACAGUAUAGAUCAGCUUGCUCAGUAUAUCAGCUGCUGUGAAUCUUCUUUAUUGGGCAUACUAGAAUUAGCUUAAGAACUUACAUGAUUAGCAUCAGUUAACGUAUUUCAGUAGGUACUUGACAUGUAAAUGCUUUGUGUAGCAGCAAGUCACUCUAUCACACAUCAAUCUGCCUCUGGAUCUGUGUUUCAGUCACAGUUCACUCGGUUUUUAGCUGUGCUGGAAACCUAGCCUAAUGAUGAAAAUAGAAUUCGUUGGCACUUUUAAAAGGCAAUCAUCACUGCUGUAUUUGCCUUCUAAAGAGCUCACAGACCUCCUAAACAAUCUCACAACAAAUUAUAAACAUAUGCAGUAAUAUUUAUACUCUUUGCUUUGAAAAUUCCCCAGCCAGCUGUGGCUUUUUUCUGUAUUUGCAGGAGUUGUGUUAUACCCAUUGUGCUAUCCUAUAAUAAAUAAACAAGCAUAUAUUC